AUGAACAAAGCUGGUGGAGGUGAUGGAUUUCCAGUGGAGCUGUUUCAAAUCCUGAAAGAUGAUGCUGUGAAAGUGCUGCACUCAAUAUGCCAGCAAGUUUGGAAAACUCAGCAGUGGCCACAGGACUGGAAAAGGUCACUUUUCAUUCCAGUUCCAAAGAAAGACAAUGCAAAAGAAUGCUCAAACUACCAUACAAUUGCACUCAUCUCAUAUGCUAGUAAAGCAAUGCUCAAAAUUCUCCAAGCCAGACUUCAGCAACACGUGAACCGUGAACUCCCUGAUGUUCAAGCUGGUUUUAGAAAAGGCAGAGGAACCAGAGAUCAAAUUGCCAACAUCCGCUGGAUCAUGGAAGAAGCAAGAGAGUUCCAGAAAAACAUCUAUUUCUGCUUUAUUGACUAUGCCAAAGCCUUUGACUGUGUGGAUCACAAUAAACUGUGGAAAAUUCUGAAAGAGAUGGGCAUACCAGACCACCUGACCUGCCUCUUGAGAAAUCUGUAUGCAGGUCAGGAAGCAACAGUUAGAACUGGACAUGGAACAACAGACUGGUUCCAAAUUGGAAAAGGAGUACAUCAAGGCUGUAUAUUGUCACCCUGCUUAUCUAACUUCUAUGCAGAGUACAUCAUGAGAAACGCUGGACUGGAAGAAGCACAAGCUGGAAUCAGGAUUGCCGGGAGAAAUAUCAAUAACCUCAGAUAUGCAGAUGACACCACCCUUAUGGCAGAAAGUGAAGAGGAACUAAAAAGCCUCUUGAGGAAAGUGAAAGAGGAGAGUGAAAAAGUUGGCUUAAAGCUCAACAUUCAGAAAACGAAGAUCAUGGCAUCUGGUCCCAUCACUUCAUGGGAAAUAGAUGGGGAAACAGUAGAAACAGUGUCAGACUUUAUUUUUUGGGACUCCAAAAUCACUUCAGAUGCUGAUUGCAGCCAUGAAAUUAAAAGACGCUUACUCCUUGGAAGAAAAGUUAUGACCAACCUAGAUAAUAUAUUCAAAAGCAGAGACAUUACUUUGCCAACUAAGUUUCGUCUAGUCAAGGCUAUGGUUCUUCCAGUAGUCAUGUAUGGAUGUGAGAGUUGGACUGUGAAGAAGGCUGAGCACCGAAGAAUUGAUGCGUUUGAAAUGCGGUGUUGGAGGAGACUCUUGAGAGUCCCUUGGACUGCAAGGAGAUCCAACCAGUCCAUUCUGAAGGAGAUCAACCCUGGGAUUUCUUUGGAAGGAAUGAUGCUAAAGCUGAAGCUCCAGUACUUUGGCCACCUGAUCCAAAGAGUUGACUCAUUGGAAAAGACUCUGAUGCUGGGAGGGAUUGGGGGCAGAAGGAGAAGGGGACGACCCAGGAUGAGAUGGUUGGAUGGCAUCACUGACUCGAUGGACGUGAGUCUGAGUGAACUCCGGGAGAUGGUGAUGGACAGGGAGGCCUGGCGUGCUGCGAUUCAUGGGGUCGCAAAGAGUCGGACACGACUGAGCGACUGA
rnacentral:lncRNA from 1 species